UACAGAGGGUGCAAGCGUUAAUCGGAAUUACUGGGCGUAAAGCGUGCGUAGACGGUUAUUUAAGUCAGGUGUGAAAGCCCCGGGCUCAACCUGGGAAUUGCAUUUGAGACUGAAUAGCUAGGGUGCGGAAGAGGGAAGCGGAAUUUCCGGUGUAGCGGUGAAAUGCGUAGAUAUCUGGAGGAACACCGGUGGCGAAGGCGGCAUUCUGGACCGAUAUUGACGCUGAGGAGCGAAAGCCAGGGGAGCAAACGGG
rnacentral:rRNA from 1 species